rnacentral:rRNA from 4 species
AAACUUUUAACAACGGAUCUCUUGGCUCUGCCAUCGAUGAAGAACGCAGCGAAAUGCGAUAAGUAAUGUGAAUUGCAGAAUUUAGUGAAUCAUCGAAUCUUUGAACGCACAUUGCGCCCGCCAGUAUUCUGGCGGGCAUGCCUGUUCGAGCGUCAUU